GUGGCUCAAUUGUAGAGCGCUUGCCUAACACGCUAGAGGCCCUGGGUUAGAUCCCCAGC
rfam:Heterocephalus glaber contig273411, whole genome shotgun sequence.